AAGAGAAGACGAAUGGCCCAACUCCAGCAGAAAGAGCAAAUUCUCCUUUUCUCUAUUUUUUGUUCUAUUCAGGCCCUCAAAAGAUUGGAUGAUGCCCACCCAUGUUGGUGAGGGUAGAUCUUCUUUACUCAGUCUACUGAUUCAAAUGCUAAUCUCUCCUGGAAACACCCUCACAGACACAUGCAGAAAUAAUGUUUUACCAGCUAUCUGGACAUUCCUUAGCACAGUCAAGCUGACACAUACAAUUAACCAUAACAGGACAAAAACCUGAAUGAGAUGCCCUCUACCUAGGGAGGGACGAAAUUGAUCACAAAGAGUCUCCUCCAAGAAGCUGGAAGCUUGUUAGAACUAUUCAUGAAAAAUAAUUCUAUGAGUGUUUUCCUUUAAGGUUCCAAAGACAACCUGGAAGGGAAAAGGGACCCUUCGAGAAAGUUCCAGGAAAAAAAAACCACUCCCAAAAAGACUACCACUUCAAGAAAACCUGAGGAAGGGAACGGGCCAACACUAUCCAGCCACUAUGACCAGCUGAAUAGGAAACUCACUCAAAAUGAGCCAUAGCAGGACCAAGUUAGCCAGGAGACCUCCACAAUCUGCAGCAUCUCCCUGGACAGCCAGUAAUUUCAAGGCAAGUUCAGAGGCCUAGAUCUAUCUGAGAGGUCUCCAGAGAUCUAACCCCAGAGAACUAGCCAGCAGGGUCUAGAAUACAUUCUAUACCCCACAGGGUAUGCCCCAUGGUGAUGAAAAUAAAAUGAAUCUGUUGU